rnacentral:rRNA from 1 species
AUUGAACGCUGGCGGCAGGCCUAACACAUGCAAGUCGAACGAGUGGCGGACGGGUGAGGAAUGUCUGGGAAACUGCCCGAUGGAGGGGGCUAACUAAUGGAAACGGUAGCUAAUACCGCAUACCAUCGGAUGUGCCCAGAUGGGAUUAGCUGGUCGGGUGGGUAACGGCUCACCUAGGCGACGAUCCCUAGCUGGUCUGAGAGGAUGACCAGCCACACUGGAACUGAGACACGGGCCAGACUCCCACGGGAGGCAGCAGUGGGGAAGAGUGCACAAUGGGCGCAAGCCUGAUGCAGCCAUGCCGCGUGUAUGAAGAAGGCCUUCGGGUUGUAAAGUACUUUCAGCUAGGAGGCGUUACUCGCAGAAGAAGCACCGGCUAACUCCGUGCCAGCCGCCGCGGUAAUAC